AGUACGUAAACAAUCUUCUCCAAUGUUAGGAGAAUCUUGACAUUACGAUACCACGAUGGGAAAUUGUGCCCCUCUAGGCAAUGUUUGUCGAGUAUUUUCGCGAGUGUGCUUCCAACCAUAUCUAAAUACAUAAACAAUAAAAUAAUUAGUUUGAUUGUCGAUUAAGUCAAACGAUUCGGGUCUUUAAACCGAAUGACACCACCCACCAUUUUUGGCAAAUUCCAUAUCCCUCAAGAUGGAAUCUGGGAGUUUUCAAAGAAAGCUCCUAGCGGGUUAUAGGAGGCUCACUAUUACCAAGCCCACCUCACGAUGAUACGAUGUUGGCUAGCAAAAAUAAUAAUGAGAGGGUACACUUACCCAUUCACAACAACCUCUUGUGAUUACCCAUCUUUUUGGCCUCUAGAGAACAAUGCCUCACGAUGAUACGACGUUGGCAUCAUUUCUCUUAGUUAAGUUCUUUCCCACCAUGCCGGUUUAGAUAGGGGUUCAAGCAUGACCUCACGAUGAUACGAUGUUGGCCACACUCGUUGCCUACCUUAACCUCAUCAAAUUUUUUAAAUAAACUCCUCCUGAGUAUAAGCAUGCACUUUGCACUCCCCCAUGAUAGGGUGAAGGCGGUGUACAAGUCAUAAACGAUUGGAGCCUACCACGGUGGAAGGCCAUGAAAAAGUGUUCAAAGCACUCUUACGCUUUCAACUUAAUAUUGUAUGUUGGUUGAGGGAUUUUAAGGUCUCAUCAAUUUUAUUUAUUUAAUCACAUUCAAAUAAAUAAUGUCCUAUUACAACUACUAGUCCAAAGUUAAUGAAAUUAGUAGCAUAUGAUAUCCCCACUAUUCGUUUUCAUAAAACAAAUCAAUAUCAAAAUAUUUUUCAAAAUAUUGGAGAUAUAUAUAACUACUAAUUGUAUUCAUUAUAAUUUAGUAGCGUAUGAUACUCCCACUAUUUGUUUUAAGAAAAACAAAUCAAUAUCAAAAACGAAUUUUCAAAAUUUUUUCAAAUAUUGGAAGUAACUACUACUACUAAGGUUUUUGCAUUCCUUUGAAAUUGGACUUUAUAGUUAUCUUAGGCUCUUGGAUGACCAUAGACUUAUUAGGUUAUUGCAACAACGAGCCAACAUUGUU
rnacentral:lncRNA from 1 species